CAGCCGCCGCGGGAAUACAGAGGGUGCGAGCGUUAAUCGGAUUUACUGGGCGUAAAGCGUGCGUAGGCGGCUUCUUAAGUCGGAUGUGAAAUCCCUGAGCUUAACUUAGGAAUUGCAUUCGAUACUGGGAAGCUAGAGUAUGGGAGAGGAUGGUAGAAUUCCAGGUGUAGCGGUGAAAUGCGUAGAGAUCUGGAGGAAUACCGAUGGCGAAGGCAGCCAUCUGGCCUAACACUGACGCUGAGGUACGAAAGCAUGGGGAGCAAACAGGAUUAGAUACCCCUGUAGUCCCUGUCUCUUAUAC
rnacentral:rRNA from 1 species